rnacentral:rRNA from 1 species
UACGAAGGGGACUAGCGUUGUUCGGAAUUACUGGGCGUAAAGCGCACGUAGGCGGACCAUCAAGUUGGGGGUGAAAUCCCGGGGCUCAACCCCCGGAACUGCCUUCAAAACUGUUGGUCUGGAGGUCGAGAGAGGUGAGUGGAAUUCCGAGUGUAGAGGUGAAAUUCGUAGAUAUUCGGAGGAACACCAGUGGCGAAGGCGGCCCACUGGUCCGGUACUGACGCUGAGGUGCGAAAGCGUGGGGAGCAAACAGG